rnacentral:rRNA from 1 species
UACGUAGGGUGCGAGCGUUAAUCGGAAUUACUGGGCGUAAAGCGUGCGCAGGCGGUUUUGUAAGCCAGAUGUGAAAUCCCCGGGCUUAACCUGGGAAUGGCAUUUGGGACUGCAAGGCUGGAGUGCGGCAGAGGAGAAUGGAAUUCCUGGUGUAGCAGUGAAAUGCGUAGAUAUCAGGAGGAACACCGAUGGCGAAGGCAGGUCUCUGGGCUGACACUGACGCUCAUGCACGAAAGCGUGGGGAGCAAACAGG